rnacentral:rRNA from 1 species
UACGUAGGGGGCUAGCGUUGUCCGGAUUUAUUGGGCGUAAAGCGCGUGUAGGCGGCCAGGUAGGUCUGCUGUGAAAACUCGAGGCUCAACCUCGAGACGUCGGCGGAAACUAUCUGGCUAGAGUCCGGAAGAGGAGAGUAGAAUUCCUGGUGUAGCGGUGAAAUGCGCAGAUAUCAGGAAGAACACCAGUGGCGAAGGCGGCUCUCUGGGAUGGUACUGACGCUGAGACGCGAAAGCGUGGGGAGCGAACAGG